rnacentral:rRNA from 1 species
UACGUAGGGUGCAAGCGUUAAUCGGAAUUACUGGGCGUAAAGCGUGCGCAGGCGGUUCGCUAAGACAGAUGUGAAAUCCCCGGGCUUAACCUGGGAACUGCAUUUGUGACUGGCGGGCUAGAGUAUGGCAGAGGGGGGCAGAAUUCCACGUGUAGCAGUGAAAUGCGUAGAGAUGCGGAGGAACACCGAUGGCGAAGGCAGCCCCCUGGGCUAGCACUGACGCUCAGGCACGAAAGCGUGGGGAGCAAACAGG